rnacentral:rRNA from 1 species
AGAGUUUGAUCCUGGCUCAGGAUGAACGCUAGCGACAGGCUUAACACAUGCAAGUCGAGGGGCAGCGAGGGAGUGGCAACACUUCUGUCGGCGACCGGCGCACGGGUGAGUAACGCGUAUGCAACCUGCCCUUCACAGGGGGAUAACCGGGAGAAAUUCCGACUAAUACCGCAUACGUCCUCCGGGGGCAUCCCCGGGGGAUGAAAGAAUUAUCGGUGAAGGAUGGGCAUGGCGUGAUAUUAGGUAGUUGGCGGGGCAACGGCCCACAAGCCCACGAUAUCUAGGGGUUCUGAGAGGAAGGUCCCCCACAUUGGUACUGAGACACGGACCAAACUCCUACGGAGGCA